AACGAACGCUGGCGGCAGGCUUAAUACAUGCAAGUCGAGCGCCCCGCAAGGGGAGCGGCAGACGGGUGAGUAACGCGUGGGAAUCUACCCAUCUCUACGGAAUAACGCAUGGAAACGUGUGCUAAUACCGUAUACGUCCUUCGGGAGAAAGAUUUAUCGGAGAUGGAUGAGCCCGCGUUGGAUUAGCUAGUUGGUGGGGUAAAGGCCUACCAAAGCGACGAUUCAUAACUGGUCUGAGAGGAUGAUCAGCCACACUGGGAUUGGGACACGGCCGAGGUGCCUACGGGGGGCAGCAUUGGGAAAUCUUGGACAAUGGGCGCAAGCCUGAUCCAGCCAUGCCACGUGAGUGAUGAAGGCCCUAGGGUUGUAAAGCUCUUUCACCGGUGAAGAUAAUGACGGUAACCGGAGAAGAAGCCCCGGCUAACUUCGUGCCAGCCGCCGCCGUAACAC
rnacentral:rRNA from 1 species